rnacentral:pre_miRNA from 1 species
UCAGAGAACUUUGGCCUCCUGGCUCUGAGAACUGAAUUCCAUAGGCUGUGAGCUCUAGCGAAUGCCCUAGGAACUCAGUUCUGGUGCCCGGCUGCAGACAGCAUC